rnacentral:rRNA from 1 species
UACCAGCACCCCGAGUGGUCGGGACGUUUAUUGGGCCUAAAGCAUCCGUAGCCGGUUCUACAAGUCUUCCGUUAAAUCCACUGCUUAACAGAUGGGCUGCGGAAGAUACUAUGGAGCUAGGAGGCGGGAGAGGCAAGCGGUACUCGAUGGGUAGGGGUAAAAUCCGUUGAUCCAUUGAAGACCACCAGUGGCGAAGGCGGCUUGCCAGAACGCGCUCGACGGUGAGGGAUGAAAGCUGGGGGAGCAAACC